AAAAAAGCCUCAUGGGAGUAUUUUCUAAUGUGGCUCAAACGUUCUUUGACGCCAGAACAAUCUGAUCAGGUUAAGGGGUCAAAGGUCGAACUUAAUAUAAUGACUAGGGGUAAUGACACAAAACUCAUUUUUGGCCGUUAAUAAUGGAAAAAAUGCACGAUUAUUAAUAUAUUAACGCAUUUUAUUCUUGUUUUAUUGAAAGUUUGCGUGAAAAGGUUCAUAUUUCUUAGAGAUUAAGAGGAAGAGUCUGCGAAAUUCUGUCCGGGUGCAUUUUUAAAAUUAUUUUUUCAGUAUCUCUGUUUCUAUGACGACCUGCCGUGUCACCCAAACACCGCUGCCACCCCCCCUCCCUGCCCUCUCAGGUGCUUUGCUCUGGUCAAACCACUGCUGGUGAAGUUGCCAACAUCUCUGCACAAACAGCCAAAAAAAAAAAA